rnacentral:rRNA from 1 species
UAAUACGUAGGGUGCAAGCGUUGUCCGGAUUUAUUGGGCGUAAAGAGCUCGUAGGCGGCCUGUCACGUCGGAUGUGAAAACCCGGGGCUCAACCCCGGGCCUGCAUUCGAUACGGGCAGGCUAGAGGAUGGCAGGGGAGACUGGAACUCCUGGUGUAGCGGUGAAAUGCGCAGAUAUCAGGAAGAACACCGGUGGCGAAGGCGGGUCUCUGGGCCAUUCCUGACGCUGAGGAGCGAAAGCGUGGGGAGCAAACAGG